rnacentral:lncRNA from 1 species
CUGAAUUCACUAUUUUCUUGGGUUAAUCAUUCAAUAAAAUACAUCUUUCAACGCCAGAUCGCUAUCAAGAAUUUGUCAAUACAAACCAAGAUUUUGAGGAGAAACGAUCUCGAGAAAAGACAGAUAUAUGCAUUUUUGCUUGAUGAUGCUUGUAAAUAGUUAAUUCAGCAUGAUAGUAUCAACUUCUUUUCCUUCGUAUUAUUAACUUCUUUCUACAAACCUUGACCUCCGUGAGUAUGUGUAGAGAGAGAGAGAGAGAGAGAGAGAGAGAGACUCUUCUUAUAUUACAGAAGGGAGUAAGGUUCACAGAGCAGGGGUUGACAUCCAUGCGUGGUCUACGCACCUGUAACCUAUUCAUGUACUCUUAGCACAUAUGGCAUCGCACAUGCUGCUUAGUAAAGCCAACCGUAGUUUCAGGAACCAUGGUUUCAUCCUGUACCACUGACAUUUCCGCCAUCUCCCGGCAAGUACCCUGGACUAUUCACCCAGUUGUUGUACUGAUCUCUGGGUAUGGCGUGAUGGUUAUUGGUGUCGGCAUCAGAAUAGCCAAACCUUUCCACUCCUUGCUCUCCCUCAUCAGCUUGGCCUCCUCCAUGGAUGUCGUCUUCCAACAACACCUUCCUUGGCAUCACUGAGCAUGAGUUCAUCACUAGAACUCCAAGCAAGAGAAUCCCCACCAACUUCAUCCUUUCUUUGGCUAACCUGAGAGAAUGAUUGAUGUAGGCUGCAUCACAACAAUAUACCUUACUUGAGAGACCUGAAAGCAUAAGAUAAAUCUCCCCAACACAAGAGAGAAAGCUUCAGACAGAGAGAGGUAUG